rnacentral:snoRNA from 1 species
AAAACUAUACUUUCAGGGAUCAUUUCUAUAGUUCUUUACUAGAGAAGUUCCUCUGAACGUGUAGGGCACCCGAACGGUCAAAAGUGUAACCCUACAGCUACACUUUUACCAGAUUAG